rnacentral:rRNA from 1 species
UUGCCCUAGUAACGGCGAGUGAAGCGGCAACAGCUCAAAUUUGAAAUCUGGCCCCCGGGUCCGAGUUGUAAUUUGUAGAGGAUGCUUUUGGUGCGGUACCUUCCGAGUUCCCUGGAACGGGACGCCAUAGAGGGUGAGAGCCCCGUCUGGUUGGACGCCAAUCCUUUGUAAAGCUCCUUCGACGAGUCGAGUAGUUUGGGAAUGCUGCUCUAAAUGGGAGGUAUAUGUCUUCUAAAGCUAAAUAUUGGCCAGAGACCGAUAGCGCACAAGUAGAGUGAUCGAAAGAUGAAAAGCACUUUGAAAAGAGAGUUAAAAAGUACGUGAAAUUGUUGAAAGGGAAGCGCUCAUGACCAGACUUGGGCCCGGUUGAUCAUCCAGGGUUCUCCCUGGUGCACUCUUCCGGCCCAGGCCAGCAUCAGUUCGCUGUGGGGGAUAAAGGCUUCGGGAAUGUGGCUCCUCCGGGAGUGUUAUAGCCCGCUGCGUAAUACCCUGUGGCGGACUGAGGUUCGCGCAUCUGCAAGGAUGCUGGCGUAAUGGUCAUCAGCGACCCGUCUUGAAACACGGACCAAGGAGUCGUCUUCGUAUGCGAGUGUUCGGGUGUUAAACCCCUACGCGGAAUGAAAGUGAACGCAGGUGAGAGCUUCGGCGCAUCAUCGACCGAUCCUGAUGUUCUCGGAUGGAUUUGAGUAAGAGCAUACGGGGCCGGACCCGAAAGAAGGUGAACUAUGCCUGUAUAGGGUGAAGCCAGAGGAAACUCUGGUGGAGGCUCGCAGCGGUUCUGACGUGCAAAUCGAUCGUCAAAUAUGGGCAUGGGGGCGAAAGACUAAUCGAACCUUCUAGUAGCUGGUUUCCGCCGA